UACGAACUGUGCAAACGUUAUUCGGAUUCACUGGGCUUAAAGGGUGCGUAGGCGGCCAUGUAAGUAGGGUGUGAAAUCCCCCGGCUUAACCGGGGAACUGCGCCCUAAACUGUAUGGCUGGAGUGAGAUAGGGGUGUGUGGAACUUCCGGUGGAGCGGUGAAAUGUGUUGAUAUCAAGUGGAACACCAGUGGCGAAGGCGAGUCUCUGGACAUUUCCUGACGCUGAGGCACGAAAGCCAGGGGAGCAAACGGG
rnacentral:rRNA from 1 species